UGGGGAAUAUUGCACAAUGGAGGGCACUCUGAUGCAGCGACGCCGCGUGAACGAAGAAGGCUUUCGAGUCGUAAAGUUCUUUUAUAUGGGAAGAUAAUGACGGUACCAUAAGAAAAAGCCCCGGCUAACUACGUGCCAGCAGCCGCGGUAAUACGUAGGGGGCUAGCGUUGUCCGGAAUCACUGGGCGUAAAGGGGUCGCAGGCGGAAAUGCAAGUCAGGUGUAAAAGGCAGUAGCUUAACUACUGUAAGCAUGUGAAACUGCAUAUCUUGAGAAGAGUAGAGGUAAGUGGAAUUUUUAGUGUAGCGGUGAAAUGCGUAGAUAUUAAAAAGAAUACCGGUGGCGAAGGCGACGUACUGGGCUCAUGCUGACGCUGAGGAACGAAAGCGUGGGUAGCAAACAGG
rnacentral:rRNA from 1 species